CCGGAACUAUUCAUACCAGUCUGGGGCAUCCCCUCUAUUUCCCUGGAAUUUACAGUGGUCACGGCAAUAAGACUUCCAAAGGAGCAAUAUUGUUGUGGCAAUCCUUCGGAAGGCACCAAUUUCAUCGACUAGGCAGAAAUUGUCACCAACAAUAAAUUCGUCUUCUCUAAGAGUGAUCUGGCUACUUAGGAGAAUGUUGAGCCUCACCGGGAUGUAAGAUGUAGAGGUGGCUGGCAUCUACAGUGUGUUGCCGCUGACACCAUGCUUGCUCAGGAUCCUCAAUACGAGGCUCGAGAUGUGAAAUCAUAGGCAUGCCGGCCUUGAUGCAUCGGUGAUUUUUUUUUAGUAUGAGAGCUUCUCCGU